rnacentral:piRNA from 1 species
UUGUUCUGAUCUGAUGUGUUUCUAGCC